UGAGUGAAGAAGGCCUUCGGGUUGUAAAGCUCUUUCGCAAGGAAAGAAAACUUACCCUCUAAUAUAGGGUGAGGCUGACGGUACCUUGAGAAGAAGCACCGGCUAACUACGUGCCAGCAGCCGCGGUAAUACGUAGGGUGCGAGCGUUAAUCGGAAUUACUGGGCGUAAAGCGUGCGCAGGCGGUUUUGCAAGUCAGAUGUGAAAGCCCCGGGCUCAACCUGGGAACUGCGUUUGAAACUGCAAGGCUAGAGUAUGGGAGAGGGAGGUAGAAUUCCACGUGUAGCAGUGAAAUGCGUAGAGAUGUGGAGGAAUACCAAUGGCGAAGGCAGCCUCCUGGCCUAAUACUGACGCUCAUGCACGAAAGCGUGGGGAGCAAACAGGAUUAGAUACCCUGGUAGUCCACGCCCUAAACGA
rnacentral:rRNA from 1 species